rnacentral:rRNA from 1 species
GAUGAACGCUGGCGGCGUGCCUAAUACAUGCAAGUCGAGCGAACGGACGAGAAGCUUGCUUCUCUGAUGUUAGCGGCGGACGGGUGAGUAACACGUGGAUAACCUACCUAUAAGACUGGGAUAACUUCGGGAAACCGGAGCUAAUACCGGAUAAUAUUUUGAACCGCAUGGUUCAAAAGUGAAAGACGGUCUUGCUGUCACUUAUAGAUGGAUCCGCGCUGCAUUAGCUAGUUGGUAAGGUAACAGCUUACCAAGGCAACGAUGCAUAGCCGACCUGAGAGGGUGAUCGGCCACACUGGAACUGAGACACGGUCCAGUCUCCUACGGGAGGCAGCAGUAGGGAAUCUUCCGCAAUGGGCGAAAGCCUGACGGAGCAACGCCGCGUGAGUGAUGAAGGUCUUCGGAUCGUAAAACUCUGUUAUUAGGGAAGAACAUAUGUGUAAGUAACUGUGCACAUCUUGACGGUACCUAAUCAGAAAGCCACGGCUAACUACGUG